CCCCCACACUGGUACUGAGACACGGACCAGACUCCUACGGGAGGCAGCAGUAAGGAAUAUUGGUCAAUGGGCGAAAGCCUGAACCAGCCAUGCCGCGUGCAGGAUGACAGCCCUACGGGUUGUAAACUGCUUUUCUGCAGGACAAAACUCCUCAACGUGUUGGGGACUGAUGGUACUGCAGGAAUAAGCAUCAGCUAACUCCGUGCCAGCAGCCGCGGUAAUACGGAGGAUGCAAGCGUUAUCCGGAUUUAUUGGGUUUAAACGGGUACGUAGCGCGGAUUUGCAAGUCAGUGGUGAAUCUCCUUCGCUUUAACGGGGAAACUGCCAUUGAUACUGUUAAUCUUGAGUACAUAUGAAGUGGCCGGAAUACGGUAUGUACCGGUGAAAUGCAUAGAUAUGCCGUAGAACACCGAUUGCGAAGGCAGCUCACUAAAUUGUCACUGACGCUGAGGUACGAAAGCGUGGGGAUCAAACAGGAUUAGAUACCCUGGUAGUCCACGCUGUAAACGAUGAUCACUCGCUGUUGGCGAUACACUGUCAGCGGCUGAGCGAAAGCAUUAAGUGAUCCACCCGGGGAUUACGAUCGCAAGAUUGAAACUCAAAGGAAUUGACGGGGGCCCGCACAAGCGGUGGAGCAUGUGGUUUAAUUCGAUGAUACGCGAGGAACCUUACCUGGGCUUAAAUGCUUAACGACCGUUGCCGAAAGGUGACUUUCCUUCGGGACGUUUUGCAAGGUGCUGCAUGGUUGUCGUCAGCUCGUGCCGUGAGGUGUCGGGUUAAGUCCCAUAACGAGCGCAACCCCUAUUCUUAGUUGCCAUCAGGUAAAGCUGGGGACUCUAAGGAAACUGCCUACGCAAGUAGUGAGGAAGGUGGGGAUGACGUCAAAUCAGCACGGCCCUUAUGUCCAGGGCUACACACGUGCUACAAUGGCCGGCACAGAGGGUAACUACUACGCGAGUAGAUGUUAAUCUCGAAAUCCGGUCUCAGUUCGGAUCGAAGUCUGCAACUCGACUUCGUGAAGCUGGAAUCGCUAGUAAUCGCGCAUCAGCCACGGCGCGGUGAAUACGUUCCCGGGCCUUGUACACACCGCCCGUCAAGCCAUGGAAGCUUGGGGUACCUGAAGUCCGUAACC
rnacentral:rRNA from 1 species